rnacentral:tRNA from 1 species
GAGGUACUAGUAAAAUGCUAUUACACUGCCUUGUCAAGGCAGAAUUGCGGGUUAAACCCCCACGUACCUCA